rnacentral:rRNA from 1 species
GCGAACACUGGUCCAUCGGCAGCGGUAAGACAGAGGGGGCAAGCGUUAAUCGGAAUUAGUGGGCGGAAAGCGGACGUAGGUGGCUGGGUAAGUUGGAUGUGAAAUCCCCGGGCUUAACUUGGGAAUUGCAUUCAAGACUGCCUUGCUAGAGUGUGGAAGAGGGAAGCGGAAUUCCAGGUGUAGCGGUGAAAUGCGUAGAUAUCUGGAGGAACAUCAGUGGCGAAGGCGGCUUCCUGGUCCAACACUGACACUGAGGUGCGAAAGCGUGGGGAGCAAACAGGAUUAGAUACCCGAGUAGUC